GUCAAUACAAAACAGGACUAUUUCGUCCAUGAACUACUGUUAGCAUCUCUUACCUCCAGGGCCUGAGAGUUUACAACCCAGCCUUGCUAAAAAGGCUUUUCUAUCAAGAAUUUUGGUUGAUAACCAAAUCCAAAACCGUCGAAUAUAAGUUUUCAGAACCACGACACAAUCAAUUUCCAGGAACGAAGACAGAAUGCAAUGCCUUGAACAUCUCUAAAAUCUUGUCCUAAUAAUUAAAUUGAAUGGGGCUCACGAGCUUGUAGUUUAUCCUCAUAGUAUUCUGCAGACUAAGAAAACCUUAGAAUUUUGCAUUGUUUUAUUUGAAUGAAAUUUAAAUGCCCACAGUUUAGCUUCAAAUGAUAAUAAUAAUUAUGGCUAACAAAAAUUUGCACAAGAAUCAACUGCUAAUUUACAAGAAACUGACAAUUGAAUGAGGGCAUUUAAUAUGAAAAAUUAUACAAGUCCAAGAACACACCUCUAUGUAAGGAAUUGACAACUUCUGUUUCUUCGAUCUCUAUGAAGUAUUCCACCUAUUCAUGUUCCACAACUAUGCAGCCAGAGUUCCUGAAGUUGCUUUCCUAUCCUCAACCAAUUUGGUUAGAGCAAGGUCAAUUUGAGAAAACACUUCCUCUUUUGAAACACUUCCAUCCACCUUUAACGUAACAUCUUUAUACAAUGAAAGUACUGCCUCCACAUUUUGGUGAUGAGUGUGCAAUCGCAACUUCACCUUCUCUUCAGUAUCAUCAAAACGUUGGGUAAGCCUAGCAGCAAUUUCUUCAUUCUCAGGAGGAGAAUACUUCAAGUGGUAUAUCCUCCCAGUAACAGGGUCUAACCUACGUCCAACCACCCUCUCAACAAGAAGCCCUUCAGGGACUUCUAGGAGAAUGAAAAGAUCAGGCUGGAAGUCAAAUUCCAUGAGAGCAGUUGCUUGUGACAUGCUCCUAGGGUAUCCAUCCAAAAGCCAACCAUUUUCUUGAGCAUCUGGCUUCAACAAACGCUCCUUCACUAUCAUGGCUACUAUUUCAUUUGGGACCAGUUGUCCGUUCUCCAUGUAUUCCUUUGCUCGCUUCCCGUUUUCACUCCCUGAAGCAAUUUCUGCUCUCAACAGGUCUCCAGCAGCAACAUGCACCAAACCAUAUUUCUUAGUGAUGAGCUCACAUUGAGUACCUUUACCAGAAGCAGGAGCUCCUGAUAUCAUUAUUUUCAAGGGUUCUGGCUUAGCUGAUGCUACAACCAAAGCUGUACCAUAUGAUUUCCCAAGACGAGGGGUGAAUAGGGUUUGAUUGGAACGGAGAGAAAUGCAAGAAUUACUUGAAGCAAAUGACAAUUUAGAGGAGAAGAAGAGCUUAGGGGUCUUAGCAGAGACAGAAGAGGGCGGACAAAGGGAAGCAUAAGGCGAAGGCGAUGACGGCGGUGGCCGUUGGGACUUGCCGCCCUCCCUGAAAUUGACACCGCAGGUACUAAUGGCUGCCAUUUCUGUCUGGUGAUGGCCUCCCUCUGUCUAAGCGCAGCCUGAUGGUCAAAAAUAGACAGAGGUGGAAUUGUUACUUGGCUGCUUGAGAUCUGCAAAUAUAUAUACACUUGGACGGCAUCUUCUGC
rnacentral:misc_RNA from 1 species